AGCCUCCACCCGCCACCCCAGGAACCUCGUGCUUCUAGGUAAUGAACCUCCCACCACAGCUCCACUGGAUGGAACCGCCCCAGCUUCCUCCAGCCCAAACUGCUGCACCCAUCCAGAGAAAUGGAAGUCAAGGACUCAGCAGUCCAAGGCAGCCCUUCUGAAGCAACUUCAGUGGCUCAGCAAAUGUUUGUUGAGAACCUCCUCUGUAGGCCUGGCUGGAUCAGGGUGGGGCUGUAGAGCUGCACAUCAUAGUCCGCAUCUGGGUCAGCCCUGAAUCUCAGGCACUGGAAGGUUACCCUGAUGGGCAGGACCCACUCCCAUCACUAAGAGAACAUCAAAAGGGCAGGUGUGGGGGUGGAUAGGAAGAUCAGGAUCUCUGAAAGGGCAAGUGUUUGAUAAAAGCCCCUUCCUUGUCCCCACAGCCUGGGACUCCUGGCACCCUGGGGAAGGGCUGUGCCUUCAGGGCUCGCCUUAGACCAGGAGAAGCCAUGGAAAGAUUUUCAGGAGAGGAGGAGUGGAGAAAUUUGCAUUGUGGUAACCUACAGACUCCACCUGGACCCAUGAUUCAUGACUCAACCGGUCCACCCAGAAGCUGACUCAGAGCAUAAGGAGCAUUUUCCACACCCCUAGGAUUUCAUCUCCAACCAAUCAGCAUUCCCCAUUCUCUAGCCCCUGUCCACCAAACUAUUCUUUAAAAACCUUAGCUCUAAGCUUUAUUUAUUUAUUUAAGUAAUACACUCCUGUCUUCCACUUAGCUGGUUCUGUAUUUAUUAAACUCUUUCUCUACUGCCAUACCGCUGUCUCAGUAAAUUAGCUCUAUCUGUGAAGUAGGCAAGAAGAACUGGUCAGGUGGUUAAAACACUACAGAUAGGCAUUGUUAAACAAAACAAUGGACUAAGCCCCUGCACUAGGCUCCAACAGAACAGACAAAAUCAAAAUGGAGUCACUCAUGCUAAAUGUCAUAUAAUCAAACUGAAACUCUAAGGAAGCUGAUAAAUCCUAAAACAGACCUUUUUUUUCCUGAAAACAGGAAAUUUCAGUCUACCAGAGUCAACCUAGUAAGAAAGUUGCCUCUUCUUUGACCUUUAUGAGAAAGUAACCUGAAGUAACCUGACAUUAAUGAAUCAGCUUCUCUUCUACUAUUCUGUUUCCUUACUCCCACCUUACAAAGCUCACUGCUCUGCUUGCCCUAGUGAGAGAACUCAUUCUAUUGUGUAGAGUAGAGUCAGCCAUGAUUCAUGAAUUAUGAAUAAAAGACAAUUAGAUCUAUAA